CCUACGGGGGGCUGCAGUCGAGAAUCUUCCACAAUGGACGAAAGUCUGAUGGAGCGACGCCGCGUGACUGAUGACGUCUUUCGGGAUGUAAAGGUCUUUUAUGAGGGAUGACAUAGCGACAGUACCUCAUGAAUAAGGGGCUGCUAAUCACGUGCCAGCAGCAGCGGUAAUACGUGAGCCCCAAGCGUUAUCCGGAAUUACUGGGCGUAAAGAGUGCGUAGGCGGUCGUGUUAGUCUUCUGUUCAAUCCAUCGGCUCAACCGGUGAACCGCAGAGGAAACGGCACGACUGGAGUGUGUGAGAGGUUUGCGGAACUCAUGGUGUAGGGGUGAAAUCCGUUGAUAUCAUGGGGAACACCAAAUGCGAAGGCAGCAAACUGGCGCAUCACUGACGCUGAGGCACGAAAGCGUGGGUAGCGAAUGGGAUUAGAUACCCCAGUAGUC
rnacentral:rRNA from 1 species